rnacentral:lncRNA from 1 species
AGUGGGGUUUGAGAUUGGACCCAGGGUCAAGAUAGAACAUGAAGGUGGGAUGAGGACAUGAACAGAACAUGGCCAAGAAGGAUCUGGGGGAGCAGCCAGGACGAGGUGGGGGCGAGGAACCACCCGGACUGGGUCUCCAUGGGCGGGGUCGUGGCUUAGGGCAGGGACAGGUGUAGGGCGAGGGGUGAGUUCGGGGCGUGGACGUGCGUGGGUUCACAGGUGUGAACGGUAGCCGCACGUGGGCUGGGACUGAGCUGAAAAAUCGGCCAGGGGCGAGGCCCGGGUAGGAAGUGGGUGCGGCGUGGGGAGGCGUGGCCUGACGGUGUGAUUGGCAGGCGGAGCUGAUCCGAGAGGACAUCCAGGGGGCUCUGCACAAUUACCGCUCGGGCCGCGGGGAGCGCAGGGCGGCGGCGCUCAGGGCCACGCAGGAGGAGUUGCAGCGCGACCGCUCGCCCGCCGCUGAGACCCCGCCCCUGCAGCGCCGCCCGUCAGUCCGCGCAGUGAUCAGCACCGUA